UACGUAGGGUGCAGGCGUUAAUCGGAAUUACUGGGCGUAAAGCGUGCGCAGGCGGUCUGCUAAGACAGGUGUGAAAUCCCCGGGCUUAACCUGGGAACUGCGCUUGUUACUGGCAGGCUGGAGUGUGGCAGAGGGGGGUGGAAUUCCACGUGUAGCGGUGAAAUGCGUAGAGAUGUGGAGGAACACCGAUGGCGAAGGCAGCCCCCUGGGCUAACACUGACGCUCAUGCACGAAAGCGUGGGGAGCAAACAGG
rnacentral:rRNA from 1 species